ensembl:lncRNA
UUUUUUUUUUUUGAGACAUGGUCUCCCUUUGUCACCCAGGCUGGACUGCAGUGGUGCCAUCUCAGCACACCGCAAUCUCCGCCUCCCAGGGUCAAGUGAUUUUCCUGCUUCAGUCUCCUGAGUAGCUGAGAUUACAAGUGCACAACACCAUGCCAGGCUAAUUUUUGUACUUUUAGUAGAGACGGGGUUUCAGCAUGUUGGCCAGCUGGUCUCGAACUCCUGACCUCGUGAUCCGCCCACCUCGGCCUACCAAAGUGCUGGGAUUACAGGCAUGAGCCACUGCGCCAAGCCUUCUUAGUCCGCUCUCUAUGUCCAUGUGUACUUAUUAUAAAAUGUGUUUUUAAAUUUCAACUAGUUACCUGCAUGUGCUUUCCUAUGACUUUCUGUUUGCUGAAGGUGAAAGUUGGUGGCAACUUGUUUUCAGGGAGCAGUUCUGUUGCUCUUUCAAGUUCCCAAAAAUCUUUUUGAGCUUGAUCUUCCCCACCAGAGGCAACUUCCCCUGUGGACUCAGAAAAGCUGGGUGCAAGACAGGAGAAGACAUCUUAUUCCCACUGACAUAAACAUUGAUGCCUUUUUUCUUAUCCAAAUGGCUUUCCUCUUUUGUAGAAGAAGUUCGAAGGUCAAGACUGAGUGAUUUUAGAGGGAAGGAAGUGCAACUUCCUCCACUCCAGGGACUGCAGUGGGUGGCAACUGAACCCAGAUGUGCAGAAGUGGAGAAAAGUGCUACCCAAGUAUGGCAUCAUCCUUAAAACGGACUAGCCACAUGGGACUAACCAGAUCCCAGACACACGCCCUUGAAGCUGGUCUAAAAUUUUCUGUGGAAAAGGAGGUAAAUCAAGCUAGCUUCAACAUUGUCUUGUUUUUUCUUUCUCUUUUUUAAGAAGAGGAUUUUCUUUCCUCCUCAGCACAGAGUUCCCAGCAAUACACUGUAAUUUUCUGCAGCUCUCUCUGGAGGCUUAAGAAGAUGCUUCGGGUGACAGCAUUACUCAUACACCUGGGAAUUGUGCUGCCGUAAAAGAGAAAUUGUCAUUAUGCCUGAGGCUCCUGUAGGUUCCCCUUUGAGGAAUCGGCAGGAAGAAGAGCAUGAAAGCCAAGAAGAUAGGACAAAUUCCAACCCCUGUCUCUAGGAAGAAAGAGCAAGUUAGUGAAAUGGCAGCUUCCAGUGGUCCGCUCUGCCUGGCAAAAACACAAAGCCCAACUAAUGUCUGUGGUCAUUUUUCAGCUGUACUCUCUGCACAACUGAAAAACCAGUGUGGGUAAACUGACAGAUCAUGGACAUCCAACAUAGGGCUUGAAGUGAAUGAAAACAAGGUCUAGUUCAAUGGUUCUCAAACAGGGGACAAUUUUGUACCUCCCUCUCAUGCUGGGACAUUUGGCAAUGUCAGAAGACAUUUUUAGUUGUCACAACUGGGAGGUGCUACUGGCAUCCAGCAGGUAGAGGCCAGGGAUACUGCUAAACAUUAUAUAAUGCACUGGAGAGCCCCCACAGCAAAGGACUCUCCUGCCUAAAGUGUCCCUGGUGCAGAGGUCAAGGAACCCUGAUCUAAUUAAGUGCUACAGCCUGGCCAGGCACGGUGGCUCAUGCCUGUAAUCCCAGCACUUUGGGAGGCUG